GGGUGCGAUCAUACCAGCACUAAUGCACCAGAUCCCAUCAGAACUCCGAAGUUAAACGUGCUUGGGCGAGAGUAGUACGAUGAUGGUGACUUCUUGGGAAGUCCUCGUGUUGCACCCC
rfam:Ricinus communis cultivar Hale ctg_1100012293003, whole genome shotgun sequence.